AAAUUGAAGAGUUUGAUCAUGGCUCAGAUUGAACGCUGGCGGCAGGCCUAACACAUGCAAGUCGAACGGUAACAGGGAUCAG
rnacentral:rRNA from 1 species